UUGCUUUCUUUGCUGGCGACCGGCGCACGGGUGAGUAACACGUAUCCAACCUGCCCUUUACUCGGGGAUAGCCUUUCGAAAGAAAGAUUAAUACCCGAUAGCAUAAUGAUUCCGCAUGGUUUCAUUAUUAAAGGAUUCCGGUAAAGGAUGGGGGUGCGUUCCAUUAGGUUGUUGGUGGGGUAACGGCCCACCAAGCCUUCGAUGGAUAGGGGUUCUGAGAGGAAGGUCCCCCACAUUGGAACUGAGACACGGUCCAA
rnacentral:rRNA from 1 species